CUACGGGAUGCACCAGUGGGGAAUAUUGGACAAUGGGGGCAACCCUGAUCCAGCAAUGCCGCGUGAGUGAAGAAGGCCCUAGGGUUGUAAAACUCUUUCAGUCGUGAAGAUGAUGACGGUAACGACAGAAGAAGCACCGGCUAACUUCGUGCCAGCAGCCGCGGUAAUACGAAGGGGGCUAGCGUUGUUCGGAAUUACUGGGCGUAAAGCGCGCGUAGGCGGAUAGAUCAGUCAGAGGUGAAAGCCCCGAGCUCAACUUGGGAACUGCCUUUGAUACUGUUUAUCUUGAGUCCGAGAGAGGGUAGUGGAAUUCCCAGUGUAGAGGUGAAAUUCGUAGAUAUUGGGAAGAACACCAGUGGCGAAGGCGGCUACCUGGCUCGGUACUGACGCUGAGGUGCGAAAGCGUGGGGAGCAAACAGGAUUAGAUACCCCCGUAGUC
rnacentral:rRNA from 1 species